rnacentral:rRNA from 1 species
UACUGCAGUCGAGCGGACAGAUGGGAGCUUGCUCCCUGAUGUUAGCGGCGGACGGGUGAGUAACACGUGGGUAACCUGCCUGUAAGACUGGGAUAACUCCGGGAAACCGGGGCUAAUACCGGAUGCUUGUUUGAACCGCAUGGUUCAAACAUAAAAGGUGGCUUCGGCUACCACUUACAGAUGGACCCGCGGCGCAUUAGCUAGUUGGUGAGGUAACGGCUCACCAAGGCAACGAUGCGUAGCCGACCUGAGAGGGUGAUCGGCCACACUGGGACUGAGACACGGCCCAGACUCCUACGGGAGGCAGCAGUAGGGAAUCUUCCGCAAUGGACGAAAGUCUGACGGAGCAACGCCGCGUGAGUGAUGAAGGUUUUCGGAUCGUAAAGCUCUGUUGUUAGGGAAGAACAAGUACCGUUCGAAUAGGGCGGUACCUUGACGGUACCUAACCAGAAAGCCACGGCUAACUACGUGCCAGCAGCCGCGGUAAUACGUAGGUGGCAAGCGUUGUCCGGAAUUAUUGGGCGUAAAGGGCUCGCAGGCGGUUUCUUAAGUCUGAUGUGAAAGCCCCCGGCUCAACCGGGGAGGGUCAUUGGAAACUGGGGAACUUGAGUGCAGAAGAGGAGAGUGGAAUUCCACGUGUAGCGGUGAAAUGCGUAGAGAUGUGGAGGAACACCAGUGGCGAAGGCGACUCUCUGGUCUGUAACUGACGCUGAGGAGCGAAAGCGUGGGGAGCGAACAGGAUUAGAUACCCUGGUAGUCCACGCCGUAAACGAUGAGUGCUAAGUGUUAGGGGGUUUCCGCCCCUUAGUGCUGCAGCUAACGCAUUAAGCACUCCGCCUGGGGAGUA